rnacentral:rRNA from 1 species
CGGCGAUACCCGAAUGGGGAAACCCAGUGUGAUUCGUCACACUAUCAUUAACUGAAUCCAUAGGUUAAUGAGGCGAACCGGGGGAACUGAAACAUCUAAGUACCCCGAGGAAAAGAAAUCAACCGAGAUUCCCCCAGUAGCGGCGAGCGAACGGGGAGGAGCCCAGAGCCUGAAUCAGCAUGUGUGUUAGUGGAAGCGUCUGGAAAGGCGCGCGAUACAGGGUGACAGCCCCGUACACAAAAGCGCAUGUGCUGUGAGCUCGAUGAGUAGGGCGGGACACGUGGUAUCCUGUCUGAAUAUGGGGGGACCAUCCUCCAAGGCUAAAUACUCCUGACUGACCGAUAGUGAACCAGUACCGUGAGGGAAAGGCGAAAAGAACCCCGGCGAGGGGAGUGAAAAAGAACCUGAAACCG